UAUAUACUUCCUCUAUCUGAAAAUAGUUGUCAUCAAAAUGGAUAAAAAAAGAUGUAUCUAGAACUAAAAUACGUCUAGAUGCAUCCCUUUUAUCCAUUUUAAUGACAAGUAUUUCCGAACGAAGGGUACAUA
rfam:Triticum aestivum genome assembly, contig: Triticum_aestivum_CS42_TGACv1_scaffold_329692_4BS